CCUACGGGAGGCAGCAGUGAGGAAUAUUGGUCAAUGGACGAAAGUCUGAACCAGCCAAGUAGCGUGAAGGAUGACUGCCCUAUGGGUUGUAAACUUCUUUUAUAUGGGAAUAAAGCGUUUCACGUGUGGGGUUUUGUAUGUAACGUAUGAAUAAGGAUCGGCUAACUCCGUGCCAGCAGCCGCGGUAAUACGGAGGAUCCGAGCGUUAUCCGGAUUUAUUGGGUUUAAAGGGAGCGUAGGUGGAUUGUUAAGUGAGUUGUGAAAGUUUGCGGCUCAACCGGGAAAUUGCAGUUGAGACUGGCAGUCUUGAGUACAGUAGAGGUGGGCGGAAUUCGUGGUGUAGCGGUGAAAUGCUUAGAUAUCACGAAGAACUCCGAUUGCGAAGGCAGUUCACUGGACUGCAACUGACACUGAGGCUCGAAAGUGUGGGUAUCAAACAGGAUUAGAUACCCGGGUAGUC
rnacentral:rRNA from 1 species